rnacentral:lncRNA from 1 species
AAGCAAAGAAAAUCCAAAACGCGGCAAAGCAAGUGGGGGAAAGGGGCCCAGGUCCGCACCUUGGCCGCUUAUACACACGGUUGGUGUAUUUAUAAAACCUGUUGUGCGAGUCGAAGGGGGACCAUCCAGGGUAAAAGUCAGACCCGUCCAUCCUCGUUCCUCCGGGCGCGCGGAGGACGCCAGGCGCUGCGGGGCGGCAUCCGGCCGUGGCCCCGGGGGUCGCGGGAGGAUGCGGAUCCCCGGCCGAUAAGGUUGCCCCGGGCAACCCCAACGCGCCGACCCCCACCCCCGCCGCCGCCCGGCGCCGGGAGGGCGACUGUGCCCUGCGGCCACAGGGCCCACCUUGGAGCGGUCGCCAACAAGGGCGACAGAGGCGACGGGCUGCAGACCUCACCCGCGCGGGGCCCUCGGAGGCAACGCCUGCGCGCCAAGGGCCGAGAGGGCGCCCCCCGUCGCCCCCCCCCCCAACCCCGGUCCCCCAGCCCGCAGCCAACACCCGGGGGCCGCCGUGCCUGCGGCCGCGCGCCUGGCACCCGCUUACCUGCUCGGCUGGACGGCGGCCGGGGCGCGGGGGGCGCGGGGGGCGCGGGGGCCUCGGCGCGGGGCGGCGUCCUCCGCGGCAGCCGGGCGGCAGGUCGGGCCGGGGCGCCGCGGCUCCGGAGCCGGUGUCGGAAGCGGCCUCGCGUGCAGGCCCGGCUCCCACCUGCAGCGCCUUUUAACCGCGCCCCACCCCGCCUCUGCCCUGACGCUCCCCCGCCGGCCGCGAGAGGCGAGCGCGCCGAGACCCGACGCGCGCCCGCCCCGGGGCGCGGGGUGCAAGGCGGGCCCUCCCUCGGGGGCGCGGAGAGCCGGGGUUGGACGCGGGGAGCGGGUGGCGCCUCCCUCGGGGGGGCGCCGCGCGCUGGGGGCCCGGCCGGACCUGGGCCUGAAGGGGUGGGGUUCCUGGCCACCGGCCCCGCGCCCAAGGGAAAGGGCCUGGGCCAGUGGGUCCGCAGCCCUCGGGGGCUUCCGAAGGAGGUGGACUCGCGGGGAUCGGUGUUGGGGACAGGGUUUUGUUUUUUUUUGUUUUUUUUUUUUUUGCCAGGACACAUCCUCUUUUUUUCUGGACGCUGCCACCUUCUAAGAGCCUGGCCGUGCGCGCGCCGGAGAGCAGCCUGGAGAACCGUGACUGUUGUUCUUUAUUAA